rnacentral:rRNA from 1 species
GGGGAGCUGGGCUUUGGAGGUCUGACAGAAGAGAGUGAGCACACGCGGUGGUUUCCUAGCAUGCGAGCGCCAUGCUUGGAGCUGCGCGUGCUCACCCUCUCUCUGUCAGCCAUUUACCAUGCCCAUCUCUCUUCUAUCUGCUGCUAA